CAAACUUGUGUCAGUACAAGCCAGUUUAAGGUGAAACCGCGAAUGGCUCAUUAAAUCAGCUAUGUUUUAUUGGAUCUGUACCAACCACUUACUUGGAUAACUGUGGUAAUUCUAGAGCUAAUACAUGCACACAGAGUCCCUGACCGUGAGGGAAGGGCGCUUUUAUUAGUUCAAAACCGGUCGGGCCUCGGUCCGUAAACCCACCUGUGAUGACUCUGAAUAACUUUUUGCUGAGCGCACGGUCUCUGUACUGGCGCCGCAUCUUUCAAGUGUCUGCCUUAUCAGCUUUCGAUUGUAGGUUAUGCGCCUACAAUGGCUAUAACGGGUAACGGGGAAUCAGGGUUCGAUUCCGGAGAGGGAGCCUGAGAAACGGCUACCACAUCUAAGGAAGGCAGCAGGCACGCAAAUUACCCACUCCCGGCACGGGGAGGUAGUGACGAAAAAUAACGAUGCGAGACUCAUCCGAGGCCUCGCAAUCGGAAUGAGUACACUUUAAAUCCUUUAGCGAGGACCCAUUGGAGGGCAAGUCUGGUGCCAGCAGCCGCGGUAAUUCCAGCUCCAAUAGCGUAUAUUAAGUGCUCAAAGCAGGCUACUUGUAUGGCCUGAAUGUCUAUGCAUGGAAUAAUGGAAUAGGACCUCGGUUCUAUUUUGUCGGUUUUCCUUUUGGAACCCGAGGUAAUGACUAAUCGAGACAGGCGGGGGCAUUCAUAUUGCGACGCUAGAGGUGAAAUUCUUGGACCGUCGCAAGAUGAACUACUGCGAAAGCAUUUGCCAAGGAUGUUUUCAUUAAUCAAGAACGAAAGUUAGAGGAUCGAAGGCGAUCAGAUACCGCCCUAGUUCUAACCAUAAACGAUGCUAACUAGCGAUCCGCCGGCGUUAUUCCCAUGACCCGGCGGGCAGCUUCCGGGAAACCAAAGUCUUUGAGUUCCAGGGGAAGUAUGGUUGCAAAGCUGAAACUUAAAGGAAUUGACGGAAGGGCACCACCAGGAGUGGAGCCUGCGGCUUAAUUUGACUCAACACGGGGAACCUCACCAGGCCCGGACACCGGAAGGAUUGACAGAUUGAGAGCUCUUUCUCGAUUCGGUGGGUGGUGGUGCAUGGCCGUUCUUAGUUGGUGGAGCGAUUUGUCUGGUUAAUUCCGAUAACGAACGAGACUCUGGCCUAUUAACUAGUCGACGGAUCUCCAGCAAUUGGUGUCCAGUUCGCAACUUCUUCUUAGAGGGAUAAGCGGCAAUUCUAGCUGCACGAGAUUGAGCAAUAACAGGUCUGUGAUGCCCUUAGAUGUUCUGGGCCGCACGCGCGCUACACUGAAGGGACCAGUGUGUUCUCCCCCUCCGAGAGGAGCGGGUAACCCGAUCAAACCCCUUCAUGAUAGGGAUUGGGGCUUGCAAUUGUUUCCCAUGAACGAGGAAUUCCCAGUAAGCGCAAGUCAUCAGCUUGCGUUGAUUACGUCCCUGCCCUUUGUACACACCGCCCGUCGCUACUACCGAUUGAAUGAUUUAGUGAGGCCUUCGGACUGUCGCUCUUGGAUGUCUGGCAUUCUUCAUCCCUUUCUAGGGUUGAGUGUCAGUGCCUCGAGCUGACGGAAAGAUGUCCAAACUUGUGUCA
rnacentral:rRNA from 1 species